rnacentral:lncRNA from 7 species
CAGAUCUCUAUGUCAUGGGCUUCAAAUCACUAGCAGGGAGACUGCUACAAUUUCAGCUGCAACAUUUGAUGUAUAAAUCCCUUAUCCCAUCUGUUCGCUUAAUCCAGGAUUCUGAAACACGUUCAGGGAACAGAAAAGGCUUAAUUGCUGCAUAUAUUUUAUAAUGCCCUCCAAGGUUUGUCCUGCAGACGUUUUUCUCAGUUUAGAGCUGCUAAAGUUGUUGUUGGCUGCAUAUAGGCUAACAAACAACGUAUUGAUGGGGAUGUGCUGGAAUCCAUCGUGGGGCCACAGGACAGGGAGGAUGUGCCCUGCAGUACCCUUCACCUACCAACUGUUAACACCAUUAAAGCUGCAAGAGAUUAAAGUGGUACCCUAGUAAGAGCUGGUGUACUAAUGGUCCUUGUCCUCUAAAAACUCAGCAGACUAACAAGGCAGUCAAAUGACAGAAGAAAGAAGGCAUUACUGUUAUCAUUGUGUAGGUGGAAGGGGGAGCACCUAAAGCUUCACGGAUUUGUCCUGAUGGUAUUGCUGGGUGCAAGACCUGGAGCACCGAGGUGCCACCAAGCUCUGAGGUUGGAUUCCUUGUGCUUGACACUGGAUUUUGUGGUACUGUCCAUUAAUCUUCCUCAAGAACUGACCUGAACAGCUAGAACAUGCCUUUUUUUUUUUUAUGAAACUUGGUGAGACAAUGACUACCCCUGCUAUGUUGUCAGCCCCAAGUUUCUCGACCUUUUCUGUGACCUUCAAAGGAAAAACCCACAGCUGAAUGAACGAACGUUUUGGAUGUUUCCACACUAAAAAGCUUUCCUGAAAUCAAGAGCUCUUAUGAUAACACUAUAAUCUGCACAUCCUGAUGGUUUUACUCCCUGCCUUUUUCCUUGGCCUGUCCAGAUGUCCCUACUUGCUGCUAUAAAGGAAGGUUAUUACUCCCACACCGACAUUAGCCAUUGAUUGAAGUGUGGUUUUUCAAGCUGGAGGGAGGAGGAAAUAGCAGAGAGCAAUAAAGCCAUAGUUCAUGGUGUUAAACAGUGCAGCAUCUCACUGAAGAACCAGGUGUGGGCUGAAUGAACUGAAUAAUAGAUCCUGGUUAGCUCUCUGAGCACUACGCUUAAUAAAGUUAAGACAGGAGGCUGGCAAUCAGGGUCAUGCAUCCAUCUAGCACAGCUGGCUCAGAAAAUCUGGGGUGGAAGCAUCCAUAAUAUGUCCAAAGUUAAGUCCACAAGCCCUUCAGUCCAAACUCAGCUUUCAAACUUGCAGCAUUAUUUAAAGCAGUAAGAUUUUCCUCUGGACCUAAUUGCACUGUGGGGGAAAAAAAAGAAGGAAAAAAAAAAACCUGGAGUUUUUCUCUGAACGAAUCUCAUCU